AGAAAAAGAUAUAUCGAAGAGUACGAAAAGAAAAUCAAUAUUUCAAAUUACGAUGAUGACGAAGAUUAUGAGGACGAAUACUAUGACGAUGAAUUCUAUUAUGGCGGGAAUAAAGAAUAUCAAACUGUCAUAAGGGAAACCGUCACAGAGCAAUUUAUGGAUAUAGACAAAUACGACAGAGAGAUUUUAGGACAUAAUAUCGCGGAUAUGCUGGUUGAAUGUACAUUUAACGGCAGGAAAUGCACGGCGAACCAUUUUGAACUACAUCAAACAUCACAGUAUGGGAACUGUUGGACGAUAUCUGAUAAGAAGUUCAAGGUCAGGAAAGCCGGUCCUUUAACUGGACUAUCACUUAUUUUGUUUU